rnacentral:rRNA from 1 species
GACGAACGCUGGCGGCGUGCCUAAUACAUGCAAGUCGAACGAACCGCGACUAAGUGCUUGCACUAAGUCAAGGUGAGUGGCGAACGGGUGAGUAACACGUGGGUAACCUACCUCAUAGUGGGGGAUAACAGUCGGAAACGACUGCUAAUACCGCAUAGGACAUAGGAUCACAUGAUCCAGUGAGGAAAGGUGGCGCAAGCUAUCGCUAAGAGAUGGACCCGCGGUGCAUUAGCUAGUUGGUAGGGUAAAGGCCUACCAAGGCGAUGAUGCAUAGCCGACCUGAGAGGGUGAUCGGCCACAUUGGGACUGAGACACGGCCCAAACUCCUACGGGAGGCAGCAGUAGGGAAUCUUCCGCAAUGGACGCAAGUCUGACGGAGCAACGCCGCGUGAGUGAAGAAGGUCUCCGGAUCGUAAAGCUCUGUUGUUAGAGAAGAACAGCGCGUAGAGUAAACUGUUAUGCGUGUG